UUCCCGGUUGAUCCUGCCGGAGGCCACUGCUAUGGGGGUCCGACUAAGCCAUGCGAGUCAUGGGGCGCGCUCUGCGCGCACCGGCGGACGGCUCAGUAACACGUCGGUAACCUACCCUCGGGAGGGGGAUAACCCCGGGAAACUGGGGCUAAUCCCCCAUAGGCCUGAGGUACUGGAAGGUCCUCAGGCCGAAAGGGGCAUCUGCCCGCCCGAGGAUGGGCCGGCGGCCGAUUAGGUAGUUGGUGGGGUAACGGCCCACCAAGCCGAAGAUCGGUACGGGCCAUGAGAGUGGGAGCCCGGAGAUGGACACUGAGACACGGGUCCAGGCCCUACGGGGCGCAGCAGGCGCGAAACCUCCGCAAUGCGGGCAACCGCGACGGGGGGACCCCCAGUGCCGUGGCAUCGCCACGGCUUUUCCGGAGUGUAAAAAGCUCCGGGAAUAAGGGCUGGGCAAGGCCGGUGGCAGCCGCCGCGGUAAUACCGGCGGCCCGAGUGGUGGCCGCUAUUAUUGGGCCUAAAGCGUCCGUAGCCGGGCCCGUAAGUCCCUGGCGAAAUCCCACGGCUCAACCGUGGGGCUUGCUGGGGAUACUGCGGGCCUUGGGACCGGGAGAGGCCGGGGGUACCCCUGGGGUAGGGGUGAAAUCCUAUAAUCCCAGGGGGACCGCCAGUGGCGAAGGCGCCCGGCUGGAACGGGUCCGACGGUGAGG
rnacentral:rRNA from 1 species